rnacentral:rRNA from 1 species
UACGUAGGGUGCAAGCGUUGCUCGGAAUUAUUGGGCGUAAAGGGUAGGUAGGUGGUGAUAUUUGUCUGGGGUGAAAUCCCUGAGCUUAACUCAGGACGUGCCUUGGAAACGGUAUCACUAGAGUACUAGAGAGGUUCGUGGAAUUCUUGGUGUAGCGGUGAAAUGCGUAGAGAUCAAGAGGAACAUCAGCGGCGAAGGCGACGAACUGGAUAGUAACUGACACUAAACUACGAAAGCGUGGGGAGCAAACAGG